rnacentral:antisense_RNA from 17 species
GUUCAGGUUCAAGUCAGCCCCCGUUUUGUUGCCAGGUUUAUACCGAACAACGUGCGGGGGUUUUCU